UCUAUUGCUCCUGUCGUUAUCCAUCUUCCUCUCUAUCGUUCUUCAAAAAAGAAUUUACUCUAAAUUUUGUUCCAAAUUUUAUAAGAUCAUUUAGUUUCGUAUUUUUCUCUUUCAUCACCCACCGCCGCCCGCCGUCCAUCACGAUUAACGUCCACCACGACAUCGUUUGAGUCCCACAAAACCAGUCUAAGAGAGUUAUGGAGUUUUUUUGAUAGUGUUUAGAGCUGUGGAGGCUGCACAAAUAAUGCUGAAUGGUCGGCUAGGAGGUCAUCGAGUUUGACGAUGCAUUACGGAGAGCAAAUCUAAGGUGAAUAGGCGAACGGGGUGUAUUCAAGCCAAAUUUUGGCUUGGCAGAAACAUGAGGAAAUAAAAGCUAUUGAGAAAAGUUUGAAUGAGUACAUGUAUCAAAAUUAUGGCCCGAAGCAUCGCGAGGGCUUCGUUCUAGUUUAUACAAUAAUGAAGCUUCAACUUCAAGGAGGUUUUUUCUUUCUUUGGAGUAAUGAAUGAACACAAGCAAACGGGUAUAUAAUUUUGGAUAGUCCACGCA